rnacentral:lncRNA from 1 species
GGCUCCUGGAGCGAGGUGAGCGCCCCAGGCCGCGGUCCUGCGUACGCCGGGACAGCCAUGGCGACUGGGUCCUGCUCCUUCCCGGCCGGACUGACGCGGCCUCCCAGGACCCGAGCACGUGCGUGAUGGGCGAGGAGGGCCUAGGCCGGGCAGACCAGUGCAGGGAGCCGAUUCUUCCCGGCUCACCGUAGACACAGGAGAGAGAUGGCCUCUCCUUAAGCCCAGGAGAACAGAGGAAACAUUAGGAAACGCACUGAGAAACGAAAUUGGCUUGAUUUGUAGUUCACUUAUUUGUAGAUCACUGACAGAAGACCGAAAAGCUCGUAGUAAAGGCCCCUCUAAAUUUAGAGAUAAAACUCAUCAGUGCUUUGAAACAAGCAGCUCUGAACCAAAGAAAUCAUUUGAUUCAAGUAACCAUUGGAUCUUCCCAAGGCAAUGGUGAAAGAAA